GACGAACGCUGGCGGCGUGCCUAAUACAUGCAAGUAGAACGCUGAAGGAGGAGCUUGCUUCUCUGGAUGAGUUGCGAACGGGUGAGUAACGCGUAGGUAACCUGCCUGGUAGCGGGGGAUAACUAUUGGAAACGAUAGCUAAUACCGCAUAAUAGUAGAUGUUGCAUGACAUUUGCUUAAAAGGUGCAAUUGCAUCACUACCAGAUGGACCUGCGUUGUAUUAGCUAGUUGGUGGGGUAACGGCUCACCAAGGCGACGAUACAUAGCCGACCUGAGAGGGUGAUCGGCCACACUGGGACUGGGACACGGCCCAGACUCCUACGGGAGGCAGCAGUAGGGAAUCUUCGGCAAUGGACGGAAGUCUGACCGAGCAACGCCGCGUGAGUGAAGAAGGUUUUCGGAUCGUGAAGCUCUGUUGUAAGAGAAGAACGAGUGUGAGAGUGGAAAGUUCACACUGUGACGGUAUCUUACCAGAAAGGGACGGCUAACUACGUG
rnacentral:rRNA from 1 species